rnacentral:rRNA from 1 species
GAUGAACGCUGGCGGCGUGCCUAAUACAUGCAAGUCGAGCGAACAGACGAGGAGCUUGCUCCUCUGACGUUAGCGGCGGACGGGUGAGUAACACGUGGAUAACCUACCUAUAAGACUGGGAUAACUUCGGGAAACCGGAGCUAAUACCGGAUAAUAUAUUGAACCGCAUGGUUCAAUAGUGAAAGACGGUUUUGCUGUCACUUAUAGAUGGAUCCGCGCCGCAUUAGCUAGUUGGUAAGGUAACGGCUUACCAAGGCAACGAUGCGUAGCCGACCUGAGAGGGGGAUCGGCCACACUGGAACUGAGACACGGUCCAGACUCCUACGGGAGGCAGCAGUAGGGAAUCUUCCGCAAUGGGCGAAAGCCUGACGGAGCAACGCCGCGUGAGUGAUGAAGGUCUUCGGAUCGUAAAACUCUGUUAUUAGGGAAGAACAAAUGUGUAAGUAACUAUGCACGUCUUGACGGUACCUAAGCAGAAAGCCACGGCUAACUACGU